rnacentral:lncRNA from 1 species
CAGAUAUCACUGGUAAGCCAGCAUUCAGGCUGGGGGGAAGCAAAAGGAAGGGAAGGAAAAAGCAAGAGAAAGGAGAAAGUAUUAGGGAGUGAACAUGGUAACACUAACUCAUUCGGGGCAACACAGUACAGGGUCCCAUAAGUGAUCAACCCCUAACCAAAAGCUCUGUAAAUCUAUAAUACUUCCUUUUUUCUUUUUUUUGAGACAGGGUCUCUUUCGGUCACCCAGGCUGAUGUGCAUCGGCGGUGGGAUCUCAGCCCACAGCAACCUCUGUCACCAGGGCUCAAGUGAUCCUCUCACCUCAGUCUCCAGAGUAGCUGGGACUACAGGGGUGCACCACCAUGUUACCCAGGCUGGUCUCAAACUCCUGAGCUCAAGUGAUCUUCCACUUCAGCCUCCCAAAGUGCUGUGUUUACAGGCGUGAACCACUAUGCCUGGCCUCAAAAACAUUUAAUACGUCCCUACUGUUUGCCAAAUGAUGAUACUACAAGGUUGAGUAAGAUAUGUUUUGGGCUGAAUUUUUAAAACAUCUUCCAUAUUUAAACUAAAGCAGGUUUUUUUUUUUUUUUUUGAGACGGAGUUUCGCUCUUGUUACCCAGGCUGAAGUGCAAUGGCGCGAUCUCGGCUCACGGCAACCUCCGCCUCCUUGGUUCAGACAAUUCUCCUGCCUCAGCCUCCUGAGUAGCUGGGAUUACAGGCAUGCGCCACCAUGCCCAGCUAAUUUUUUGUAUUUUUAGUAGAGACUGGGUUUCACCAUGUUGACCAGGAUGGUCUCGAUCUCUUGACCUCGUGAUCCACCCGCCUCGGCCUCCCAAAGUGCUGGGAUUACAGGCUUGAGCCACUGCGCCCAGCCUGAAGCAGCUUUUUGUCAUCAUCUUUUGAUAUCAACCUGUACUUAAUAAAGCAUUUUGAAUGAAUACAUGAAAUUUGAUCAUGAUGAAGGAUGUAGUUUAUUAAAAUAACAGAAUAUAGGGAAAAUGUUCAAUAGCUUAUAUUCUUGAAAAUAUUAUUACCACAUUUUUCUGUAUUCUUUAAAGACGAAUUAUUCAAAUUAAAUU